AUUGAACGCUGGCGGCAUGCUUUACACAUGCAAGUCGAACGGUAACAGGCCGCAAGGUGCUGACGAGUGGCAAACGGGUGAGUAAUGCAUCGGAACGUGCCCAGUCGUGGGGGAUAACGCAGCGAAAGCUGCGCUAAUACCGCAUACGAUCUAUGGAUGAAAGCGGGGGACCGUAAGGCCUCGCGCGAUUGGAGCGGCCGAUGUCAGAUUAGGUAGUUGGUGGGGUAAAGGCUCACCAAGCCAACGAUCUGUAGCUGGUCUGAGAGGACGACAGGCCACACUGGGACUGAGACACGGCCCAGACUCCUACGGGAGGAAGCAGUGGGGAAUUUUGGACAAUGGGCGCAAGCCUGAUCCAGCAAUGCCGCGUGCAGGAAGAAGGCCUUCGGGUUGUAAACUGCUUUUGUACGGAACGAAACGGUCCUGGUUAAUACCUGGGGCUAAUGACGGUACCGUAAGAAUAAGCACCGGCUAACUACGUGCCAGCCGCCGCUGUAAAAC
rnacentral:rRNA from 1 species